UCUGGAAACUGUNUGACUUGAGUGCAGAAGGGGAGAGUGGAAUUCCAUGUGUAGCGGUGAAAUGCGUAGAUAUAUGGAGGANCACCAGUGGCGAAAGCGGCUCUCUGGUCUGUCACUGACGCUGAGGCUCGAAAGCGUGGGUAGCGAACAGGAUUAGAUACCCUGGUAGUNCACGCCGUAAACGAUGAGUGCUAGGUGUUAGGCCCUUUCCGGGGCUUAGUGCCGGAGCUAACGCAAUAAGCACUCCGCCUGGGGAGUACGACCGCAAGGUUGAAACUCAAAGGAAUUGACGGGGGCCCGCACAAGCGGUGGAGCAUGUGGUUUAAUUCGAAGCAACGCGAAGAACCUUACCAGGUCUUGACAUCCCGAUGCUAUUCUUAGAGAUAGGAAGUUACUUCGGUACAUCGGAGACAGGUGGUGCAUGGUUGUCGUCAGCUCGUGUCGUGAGAUGUUGGGUUAAGUCCCGCAACGAGCGCAACCCUUAUUGUUAGUUGCCAUCAUUAAGUUGGGCACUCUAGCGAGACUGCCGGUAAUAAACCGGAGGAAGGUGGGGAUGACGUCAAAUCAUCAUGCCCCUUAUGACCUGGGCUACACACGUGCUACAAUGGUCGGUACAACGAGUUGCGAGCCGGUGACGGCAAGCUAAUCUCUGAAAGCCGAUCUCAGUUCGGAUUGGAGGCUGCAACUCGCCUCCAUGAAGUCGGAAUCGCUAGUAAUCGCGGAUCAGCACGCCGCGGUGAAUACGUUCCCGGGCCUUGUACACACCGCCCGUCACACCACGAGAGUUUGUAACACCCGAAGUCGGUGAGGUAACCUUUUAGGGGCCAGCCGCCUAAGGUGGGANGGA
rnacentral:rRNA from 1 species